AGAGUUUGAUCCUGGCUCAGGACGAACGCUGGCGGUGUGCUUCACACAUGCAAGUCGAGCGGAUGAAAACAGUAGCUUGCUACUGUUGGAUUUAGCGGCGGACGGGUGAGUAAUAUAUAGGAAUCUGCCCUAAUGCGGGGAACAACAGACCGAAAGGUCUGCUAAUGCCCCAUAGGUAUGCAGUCUUCGGAUUGUAUAUUAAAGGAGUAAUCCACUUUAGGAUGAGCCUGUAUCCGAUUAGCUUGUUGGCGGGGUAAUGGCCCACCAAGGCUACGAUCGGUAGUUGGUCUGAGAGGAUGAUCAGCCACAAUGGGACUGAGACACGGCCCAUACUCCUACGGGAGGCAGCAGUGGGGAAUUUUACACAAUGGGGGAAACCCUGAUGUAGCGACACCGCGUGAACGAAGAAGCCUUUUGGGGUGUAAAGUUCUGUCGGCUGGAACGAAAAAAAUGACGGUACCAGCGAAGGAAGCAUCGGCUAACUACGUGCCAGCAGCCGCGGUAAGACGUAGGAUGCGAGCGUUGUCCGGAUUUAUUGGGCGUAAAGAGUUCGUAGGCGGUUAUUUAAGUCUGAUGUUAAAUACUGUGGCCUAACCACAGAACUGCAUUGGAUACUGGAUGACUUGAGUGCGGUAGAGGCAAGUGGAAUUCCCAGUGUAGCGGUGAAAUGCGUAGA
rnacentral:rRNA from 1 species